GUUCUUUGUUGGGUAGACGCGUCUACUUUUUAGUGGAUGAGGAAAGUCCGAACACAUCGUCGUAGUAAUACGACAAGCGUAGCGGGUAACGCCCGUCGUGGGUGACCAUCGUGUUGCGAACAGAAACGAUCCGGUUAAGUCCGGCUGAAACGGCUAAAUACAUACGUGUGUGCAAGACCGUACUGGAGCAAUCCUUUGAGUCGCAUGAGGUGAUGGGUAACUAUCAUCCUAGGUACAUGUCUAUACAAAUACAGAAUUCGGCUUAUAGAUAAAGAACAAUA
rnacentral:RNase_P_RNA from 1 species